UACGUAGGCAGCGAGCGUUGUUCGGAGUUACUGGGCGUAAAGGGUGUGUAGGCGGUUUUCUAAGUUUGGUGUGAAAUCUCCCGGCUCAACCGGGAGGGUGCGCCGAAAACUGGGAGACUAGAGUGCGGGAUGGGAGAGUAGAAUUCCUGGUGUAGCGGUGAAAUGCGUAGAUAUCAGGAGGAAUACCGGUGGUGUAGACGGCUCUCUGGACCGCCACUGACGCUGAGGAGCGAAAGCGUGGGGAGCGAACAGG
rnacentral:rRNA from 1 species